GGGCAGGGUCUGCAGCUGCGCAGAGAAUGAAAUGGAUGGUCCAACACAGACAAGGCCGACCACUCCACCGGAUGAAAGCCUUGUCAGAGCAAAUCUGUAGGUAACUAUGUUUUUUAUUGGCCUAUUAUUUGUAAAGAAUUUUAGGAAACAAAGGGAAUUGCUACAUAUUGUUUUUUUUUUUUUAAUUUAAUCGUUCUUAAAGAAUAAAUGUCUGGCCCUUUUAAGAGAUCUGUUUGAUGCAUGUCCAAAGCUAGGACCUGUUUGGGGUUUGGUGUGUAUCUUGUUAUUUUUGCAUGUUUCUUUUAUGCAAAUUAUUAAAUUAACAGUAUUCCUAUAAAAACUAUAUUAUAUUUAUUUACUUAGGUUUCUAAAGUAGGUUAUUUAAAUUAAAUUAUUCCUUGAGAAGUUCAUUUGUAUAUAUAAUGUUUUUAGAUUAUGUUUAACCCUAAACCUUCCAAGUUCCUCCCUGCCCCCACUGUGCCCUUCCCAAUUCUCUUCCUGCCCCCAAAUAAAGUACUGAAUCCUGUUAGUGUUCCUUGAUGUACAUUCUUGAGUCAUGAAAAGCUACACCUAACCGCAGCCCUGAAGAAAAGUUACAUUCUUUUGCCUAGCAGCCAUCAGUGGUCAGGCUGAGAGUCAGACAGCACACAAUCUCAGAUGUGGUUAUAGCCUUGAAUCGUUAGCUUUGUGUGUUUGGCUUAGAUUUCUGGAAGAAACCACGAAAUGGGGCUAUUUGGAGUGGCAUUACGAGAAGGAGCUUACCAGAACACAGGUAUUCUUUCACCUUUUGGGGGAAUUUCUAUAAGUUUAUAAUUGUCCAUACAUACAUACAUACAUACCUUAAUUAUACUUAAUUGGAUCUGUUUCUUUUGAGUUCAUAGGAAGAAAAAAUUAGAUACUAAUUUAGGUCUGCUUUCUUUUCUAACCUGCAUUUUAACGUUUAGAUUUUACCUAAAAUUCUGAUGCUAUAAGGGGACUGAGGCUAAUAUUGUUGGUUUUCUGCUAAAGACUAAAAUCUAUCAUUUCUUUACAGGUUACCAGUUCCUUUUCAUUGGAAAGAGAAUUCUUUUCACAUCAACUAUAUUCAAGUCUACAACAGUUUAUAAUCUCUCACGGGCAGAAGAUGACAGAACUGACCUACUACAGAGGAAGGUAUGAAGAGUUACAGCGAGCAAGUAUGGGCCAUUCUCUCAGGUAUUUCUGCAGAAGCCACACAUUAUAAGUGCACCAAACUUAUGUAUCAUUGGUAAGAAUUGCUCACAUGUGUUUAUACAUUAUGGCCGUUUUAAAGUAUAGAUUAACCCGUAAUGUUCAAGAGAGAGCCUCCUUGUUUUUCUUUUAAAUUCAAUUGUUUUGACUUCGUGCAUAUAGUUAUUUUGUCUAUAUG